AAAGAACCAACAGGGAUUGCCUCAGUAACGGCGAGUGAAGCGGCAAGAGCUCAAAUUUGAAAUCUGGCUCCUUCGGGGCCCGAGUUGUAAUUUGCAGAGGAUGCUUCGGGGGUGGUCGCCGCCUAAGUCCCCUGGAACGGGGCGUCAGAGAGGGUGAGAAUCCCGUCUUUGGUGGGCUGAUCUCUCCCGGGUGAAGCUCCUUCGACGAGUCGAGUUGUUUGGGAAUGCAGCUCUAAGCGGGUGGUAAAUUUCAUCUAAAGCUAAAUAUUGGCUGGAGACCGAUAGCGCACAAGUAGAGUGAUCGAAAGACGAAAAGUACUUUGAAAAGAGAGUUAAACAGCACGUGAAAUUGUUGAAAGGGAAGCGCUGGCCGCCAGAUUCGGCCUUGGGGGCUCACUGAGCAUGCUUGCUUAGGCACUCCCUCAGGGUCGGGUCAGCAUCGGUUCAGGCGGUCGGUCAAAGGCCCUCGGAAUGUGUCGCCUCUCGGGGCGUCUUAUAGCCGAGGGUGCAAUGCGGCCUGCCCGGAUCGAGGAACGCGCUUCGGCACGGAUGCUGGCAUAAUGGCGGUCAGCGGC
rnacentral:rRNA from 2 species